UCUCCGUAGGUGAACCUGCGGAGGGAUCAUUACAGAGUUCAUGCCCUACCGGGUAGAUCUCCCACCCUAUGUUAUUAUUACUUUGUUGCUUUGGCGGGCCGUUAGACUCCGGCCCGACUACCGGCCCCGGCUGGUAAGCGCCCGCCAGAGGACCCAAAACCCUGAAUAUUAGUGUCGUCUGAGUACUAUAUAAUAGUUAAAACUUUCAACAACAGAUCUCUUGGUUCUG
rnacentral:misc_RNA from 1 species